UACGUAGGGGGCAAGCGUUGUCCGGAAUCAUUGGGCGUAAAGCGCGUGUAGGCGGUCCGGUAAGUCCGCUGUGAAAGUCGGGGGCUCAACCCUCGGAUGCCGGUGGAUACUGUCGGGCUUGAGUACGGAAGAGGCGAGUGGAAUUCCUGGUGUAGCGGUGAAAUGCGCAGAGAUCAGGAGGAACACCAAUUGCGAAGGCAGCUCGCUGGGACGUUACUGACGCUGAGACGCGAAAGCGUGGGGAGCAAACAGG
rnacentral:rRNA from 1 species